CAGGCCUAACACAUGCAAGUCGAACGGCAGCAUGGAGGAGCUUGCUCCUCUGAUGGCGAGUGGCGAACGGGUGAGUAAAGCAUCGGAACGUACCGUGUAAUGGGGGAUAACGUAGCGAAAGUUACGCUAAUACCGCAUACGACCUGAGGGUGAAAGCAGGGGAUCGCAAGACCUUGCGUUAUACGAGCGGCCGAUUUCAGAUUAGCUAGUUGGUAGGGUAAAGGCCUACCAAGGCGACGAUCUGUAGCGGGUCUGAGAGGAUGAUCCGCCACACUGGGACUGAGACACGGCCCAGACUCCUACGGGAGGCAGCAGUGGGGAAUUUUGGACAAUGGGGGAAACCCUGAUCCAGCCAUGCCGCGUGAGUGAAGAAGGCCUUCGGGUUGUAAAGCUCUUUCGGCCGGGAAGAAAUCGCACAGGCUAAUACUCUGUGUGGAUGACGGUACCGGCAAAAAGCACCGGAA
rnacentral:rRNA from 1 species